GACGAACGCUGGCGGCGUGCUUAACACAUGCAAGUCGAACGGAAAGGCCCCGCUCUUGUGGUGUGCUCGAGUGGCGAACGGGUGUGUAACACGAGUGUAACCUGCUCUUGACUUUGGGAUAACUUCAGGAAACUGGGGCUAAUACCGGAUAGGAUCUCCUGCUGCAUGGUGGGGGUGGGAAAUUUUCGGCGGUUGGGGAUGGACUCGCGGCUUAUAAGCUUGUUGGUGGGGUAGUGGCUUACCAAGGCUUUGACGGGUAGCCGGCCUGAGAGGGUGACCGGCCACAUUGGGACUGAGAUACGGCCCAGACUCCUACGGGAGGAAGCAGUGGGGAAUAUUGCACAAUGGGCGGAAGCCUGAUGCAGCAACGCCGCGUGCGGGAUGACGGCCUUCGGGUUGUAAACCGCUUUCGCCUGUGACGAAGCGUGAGUGACGGUAAUGGGUAAAGAAGCACCGGCUAACUACGUG
rnacentral:rRNA from 1 species